rnacentral:rRNA from 1 species
CCCUUAGAUGUUCUGGGCCGCACGCGUGCUACACUGAGUGGAUCAGCGGGUCGGGCUGCGCGAAAGCGUUUCCUAAUCUUUAAAUCCGCUCGUGAUGGGGAUUGACGGUUGCAAUUUUCUGUCAUGAACGAGGAAUACCUUGUAAGCGCGGGUCAUCAUCCCGCGCUGAAUACGUCCCUGCCCUUUGUACACACCGCCCGUCGCUCCUACCGAUUGAGUGGUCCGGUGAGGCUUUGGGAUCUGAGCGGAAAGAGCGUUUCGCUGUUUCUGCUCGGAAAACUCAGUCGAACCUUAUCAUUUAGAGGAAGGAGAAGUCGUAACA